AAGUUGUUGCGGUUAAAAGCUCGUAGUUCGAGCUCAGUUCCGGACUGGCCGGGGAGGUCACCGCCCGGUGCUUCCCCGUCAGGCUCCGAACAGCCUUCGUGAGCGGAGGCCAAGCCGGUUCUGCCGGGGUGCUCUUUACCGAGUGUCCCGCGCGGCCGGCCAGUUCACCUUGAAUAAAUGAGAGUGCUCAAAGCAGGCUACUCUCGAAUACAAUGCCCGAAUGUUACCUGCAUGGAAUGAUGGAAGAUGAUCUCGGUUCCAUUUUAUUGGUGGUGGGAGCCCGAGGUAAUGAUAAACAGGGACUGUCGGGGGCAUCCGUACUACGACGCGAGAGGUGAAAUUCAGUGACCGUCGUAGGACGAACAACAGCGAAAGCAUUUGCCAAGAAUGUCUUCGUUGAUCAAGAACGAAAGUUAGAGGAUCGAAGGCGAUCAGAUACCGCCCUAGUUCUAACCCUAAACGAUGCUGACUAGCAAUUCGCCGUCGUUAUUCCCAUGACGUGGCGAGACGCCCCCGGGAAACCUCAAGUCUUUGAGUUCCGGGGGUAGUAUGGUUGCAAAACUGAAACUUAAAGGAAUUGACGGAAGGGCACCACCAGGAGUGGAGCCUGCGGCUUAAUUUGACUCAACACGGGAAACCUCACCAGGCCCGGACACCAGAAGGAUUGACAGAUUAAGAGCUCUUUCUCGAUUUGGUGGGUGGUGGUGCAUGGCCGUUCUUAGUUGGUGGAGUGAUUUGUCUGGUUAAUUCCGGUAACGAACGAGACUCUGGCCUACUAAAUAGUCGACGGGCGUUUUGGUGCAUGGGCCCCGUUCGACACAGUCUUCUUAGAGGGAUGAGCAGCGAGUAUAGCUGCAGGAGAUUGAGCAAUAACAGGUCUGUGAUGCCCUUAGAUGUCCUGGGCCGCACGCGCGCUACACUGAAUGGGUUAGCGGGUUGUCCUUCUCCGAGAGGAGCGGGAAAUCGCUUGAAAACCAUUCGUGAUAGGGAUUGGGGCUUGCAAUUGUUUCCCAUGAACGAGGAAUUCCCAGUAAGCGCAAGUCAUCAGCUUGCGUUGAUUAAGUCCCUGCCCUUUGUACACACCGCCCGUCGCUACUACCGAUUGAAUGAUUUAGUGAGGCCUUCGGACUGGCGGUCUUGGACUGGGGCGCCGGAUAUCCUCAGCAAUGGGGUGCCGGCGACCCGCCUAGACGGGCCGGAAAGAUGUCCAAACUUGAUCAUUUAGAGGAAGUAAAAGUCGUAACAAGGUUUCCGUAGGUGA
rnacentral:rRNA from 1 species